CACGUAGGGUGCGAGCGUUGUCCGGAAUUAUUGGGCGUAAAGAGCUCGUAGGCGGCUUGUCACGUCGGGUGUGAAAGCCCGGGGCUUAACCUCGGGUCUGCAUUCGAUACGGGCUAGCUAGAGUGUGGUAGGGGAGAUCGGAAUUCCUGGUGUAGCGGUGAAAUGCGCAGAUAUCAGGAGGAACACCGGUGGCGAAGGCGGAUCUCUGGGCCAUUACUGACGCUGAGGAGCGAAAGCGUGGGGAGCGAACAGG
rnacentral:rRNA from 1 species